UUGCUAGAUAUUAUUAUUAUUAUUAUUCUUCUUCUUCUUCUUCUUCCGUUAUACUCGUAUGCAAGCAGCGCUUUUGACGAGUCCUUGUGUGAUGUUAAAUCAGGUAGUAGGUCCGCCCAAAGGUACCUGCUUGGCAAGUUCACAUCCCAUUAUUUUUAGGAGCUGAGAAGUUGACUCUGGAUGUAAUGAUGUGUGUGUUUCGAACCCACGCGCCUUGGGUCCCCACACCAAGGCGCUACCCCGGUGGCCGUAUUACCCAUUCGGCUACCGGCGGGGCGAUAUCAUCAUCGAUACCUAGGUGAUGUUUAUUCUCAUAGAGAUUGAUUGGAUAUCGAGCAGGUAGGUAGGUAGGUGGAGUGAUGACAAUGUGAAGAGUGAAUAGUAGAAGAUAGAAUAUAGUGCGCGGUAAUGGAAGAAUGGAAUAAUAUAGUAGUAGCUAAUCGCUAAGAAAGAGAAGGAAGAGAAAAGAAGAUGUGCGGGAUACAAUACAGCCAUAUAUAUAUACAUAAAAAUAGUGGUAGCGAGAACAAAUGAGAAAGGUAAGAAUAAGCAAAGAUAUAUAAGGAAAUAAUAGAUGAGUGCUGUAACGGGCGUACUACUGAUUAACAGACUAAGCACUAUCCUAAAUACAGAUUACAAAUUGAUUACGGAAGGAAAGAGAAAAGAGAUCAGAAGGAAAGGUUGUAUGAAGAGAUUCUUAUAGAGAAGAGAUCAGAAUAGAAGAAUAUCAGAAGCUGCACCACAGUGAAGUGCAGAGUGGAAG
rnacentral:sRNA from 1 species